GAACGCUGGCGGCGUGCUUAACACAUGCAAGUCGAACGGGAAUUUUUUAGUAAGAGAGCUUGCUCGAUUACAGGGAAUUCCUAGUGGCGGACGGGUGAGUAACGCGUGGGCAACCUGCCCUGUACAGGGGGAUAGCAGUUAGAAAUGACUGAUAAAACCGCAUAAGCGCACGGAAUCGCAUGAUUCAGUGUGAAAAGCUCCGGUGGUACAGGAUGGGCCCGCGUCCGAUUAGCCAGUUGGCGGGGUAACGGCCCACCAAAGCGACGAUCGGUAGCCGGCCUGAGAGGGCGACCGGCCACAUUGGGACUGAGACACGGCCCAAACUCCUACGGGAGGCAGCAGUGGGGAAUAUUGCACAAUGGGGGAAACCCUGAUGCAGCGACGCCGCGUGAAGGAAGAAGUAUUUCGGUAUGUAAACUUCUAUCAGCAGGGAAGAUGAUGACGGUACCUGACUAAGAAGCCCCGGCUAACUACGUGCCAGCCGCCGC
rnacentral:rRNA from 1 species